rnacentral:rRNA from 1 species
UACCGGCGGCUCGAGUGGUGGCCGCUAUUACUGGGUUUAAAGGGUCCGUAGCUUGAUACAUGGGUCCCUUGAGAAAUCCGUAUGCUUAACGUACGGGCGUUCAGGGGAAACUGUGUUUCUAGGGACCGGGAGAGGUGAGAUGUACUGCCGGGGUAGGAGUGAAAUCCUGUAAUCCCGGUGGGACGACCAAUGGCGAAGGCAUCUCACCAGAACGGCUCCGACAGUGAGGGACGAAAGCUGGGGGAGCAAA